rnacentral:rRNA from 1 species
UACGGAGGGUGCGAGCGUUGUUCGGAAUCACUGGGCGUAAAGGGCGCGUAGGCGGCGCGGAUAGUCGGCGGUGAAAGCCCGGAGCUCAACUCCGGGUCGGCCGUCGAUACUUCCGGGCUUGAGCACUGUAGAGGCAGAUGGAAUUCCGGGUGUAGCGGUGGAAUGCGUAGAGAUCCGGAAGAACACCGGUGGCGAAGGCGGCGACCUGGUCCGAUACUGACGCUGAGGCGCGAAAGCGUGGGGAGCAAACAGG